AUUCUGUAGCAAGGUUAACCGUAUAGGGGAGCCGGAGGGAAACCGAGUCUUAAUUGGGCGUUAAGUUGCAGGGUAUAGACCCGAAACCCGGUGAUCUAGCCAUGGGCAGGUUGAAGGUUGGGUAACACUAACUGGAGGACCGAACCGACUAAUGUUGAAAAAUUAGCGGAUGACCUGUGGCUGGGGGUGAAAGGCCAAUCAAACCGGGAGAUAGCUGGUUCUCCCCGAAAGCUAUUUAGGUAGCGCCUCGUGAAUUCAUCUCCGGGGGUAGAGCACUGUUUCGGCUAGGGGGCCAUCCCGGCUUACCAACCCGAUGCAAACUGCGAAUACCGGAGAAUGUUAUCACGGGAGACACACGGCGGGUGCUAACGUCCGUCGUGAAGAGGGAAACAACCCAGACCGCCAGCUAAGGUCCCAAAGUCAUGGUUAAGUGGGAAACGAUGUGGGAAGGCCCAGACAGCCAGGAUGUUGGCUUAGAAGCAGCCAUCAUUUAAAGAAAGCGUAAUAGCUCACUGGUCGAGUCGGCCUGCGCGGAAGAUGUAACGGGGCUAAACCAUGCACCGAAGCUGCGGCAGCGAACGUAUCACCCAAGACAACUUUACGGAGUUGACGAUUGACGGAGCGAAGCGACGUCAAAGCGUUCAUUAAAGUCGAGUUGGCUUAGGGAUACGUUCGUUGGGUAGGGGAGCGUUCUGUAAGCCUGUGAAGGUGUGUCGUGAGGCAUGCUGGAGGUAUCAGAAGUGCGAAUGCUGACAUAAGUAACGAUAAAGCGGGUGAAAAGCCCGCUCGCCGGAAGACCAAGGGUUCCUGUCCAACGUUAAUCGGGGCAGGGUGAGUCGACCCCUAAGGCGAGGCCGAAAGGCGUAGUCGAUGGGAAACGGGUUAAUAUUCCCGUACUUGGUGUUACUGCGAAGGGGGGACGGAGAAGGCUAUGUUGGCCGGGCGACGGUUGUCCCGGUUUAAGCGUGUAGGUGUGUGUUCCAGGUAAAUCCGGUUCACUUUAACACUGAGGCGUGACGACGAGGCACUACGGUGCUGAAGCAACAAAUGCCCUGCUUCCAGGAAAAGCCUCUAAGCAUCAGGUAACACGAAAUCGUACCCCAAACCGACACAGGUGGUCAGGUAGAGAAUACCAAGGCGCUUGAGAGAACUCGGGUGAAGGAACUAGGCAAAAUGGUGCCGUAACUUCGGGAGAAGGCACGCUGACACGUAGGUGAAGUGAUUUACUCAUGGAGCUGAAGUCAGUCGAAGAUACCAGCUGGCUGCAACUGUUUAUUAAAAACACAGCACUGUGCAAACACGAAAGUGGACGUAUACGGUGUGACGCCUGCCCGGUGCCGGAAGGUUAAUUGAUGGGGUCAGCGUAAGCGAAGCUCCUGAUCGAAGCCCCGGUAAACGGCGGCCGUAACUAUAACGGUCCUAAGGUAGCGAAAUUCCUUGUCGGGUAAGUUCCGACCUGCACGAAUGGCGUAAUGAUGGCCAGGCUGUCUCCACCCGAGACUCAGUGAAAUUGAACUCGCUGUGAAGAUGCAGUGUACCCGCGGCAAGACGGAAAGACCCCGUGAACCUUUACUAUAGCUUGACACUGAACAUUGAGCCUUGAUGUGUAGGAUAGGUGGGAGGCUUUGAAGUGUGGACGCCAGUCUGCAUGGAGCCGACCUUGAAAUACCACCCUUUAAUGUUUGAUGUUCUAACGUGGACCCGUAAUCCGGGUUGCGGACAGUGUCUGGUGGGUAGUUUGACUGGGGCGGUCUCCUCCUAAAGAGUAACGGAGGAGCACGAAGGUUGGCUAAUCCUGGUCGGACAUCAGGAGGUUAGUGCAAUGGCAUAAGCCAGCUUGACUGCGAGCGUGACGGCGCGAGCAGGUGCGAAAGCAGGUCAUAGUGAUCCGGUGGUUCUGAAUGGAAGGGCCAUCGCUCAACGGAUAAAAGGUACUCCGGGGAUAACAGGCUGAUACCGCCCAAGAGUUCAUAUCGACGGCGGUGUUUGGCACCUCGAUGUCGGCUCAUCACAUCCUGGGGCUGAAGUAGGUCCCAAGGGUAUGGCUGUUCGCCAUUUAAAGUGGUACGCGAGCUGGGUUUAGAACGUCGUGAGACAGUUCGGUCCCUAUCUGCCGUGGGCGCUGGAGAACUGAGGGGGGCUGCUCCUAGUACGAGAGGACCGGAGUGGACGCAUCACUGGUGUUCGGGUUGUCAUGCCAAUGGCACUGCCCGGUAGCUAAAUGCGGAAGAGAUAAGUGCUGAAAGCAUCUAAGCACGAAACUUGCCCCGAGAUGAGUUCUCCCUGAGACUUAGAGUCUCCUGAAGGAACGUUGAAGACGACGACGUUGAUAGGCCGGGUGUGUAAGCGCAGCGAUGCGUUGAGCUAACCGGUACUAAUGAACCGUGAGGCUUAACCUUACAACGCCGAAG
rnacentral:rRNA from 1 species